CAAGUAGAACGCUGAAGGAGGAGCUUGCUCUUCUGGAUGAGUUGCGAACGGGUGAGUAACGCGUAGGUAACCUGCCUGGUAGCGGGGGAUAACUAUUGGAAACGAUAGCUAAUACCGCAUAAUAGUAGAUGUUGCAUGACAUUUGCUUAAAAGGUGCAAUUGCAUCACUACCAGAUGGACCUGCGUUGUAUUAGCUAGUUGGUGGGGUAACGGCUCACCAAGGCGACGAUACAUAGCCGACCUGAGAGGGUGAUCGGCCACACUGGGACUGAGACACGGCCCAGACUCCUACGGGAGGCAGCAGUAGGGAAUCUUCGGCAAUGGACGGAAGUCUGACCGAGCAACGCCGCGUGAGUGAAGAAGGUUUUCGGAUCGUAAAGCUCUGUUGUAAGAGAAGAACGAGUGUGAGAGUGGAAAGUUCACACUGUGACGGUAUCUUACCAGAAAGGGACGGCUAACUACGUGCCAGCAGCCGCGGUAAUACGUAGGUCCCGAGCGUUGUCCGGAUUUAUUGGGCGUAAAGCGAGCGCAGGCGGUUAGAUAAGUCUGAAGUUAAAGGCUGUGGCUUAACCAUAGUACGCUUUGGAAACUGUUUAACUUGAGUGCAAGAGGGGAGAGUGGAAUUCCAUGUGUAGCGGUGAAAUGCGUAGAUA
rnacentral:rRNA from 1 species